GUGAACUUAUGCAAAUGAACAUGUAAAAUUUAUUAUCAACCACAUUUCUAUAAUAACAUGAAACCACAUUUCUAUGUUUGUACCGUCAGCAAAUGCAUCUGCAAAGGUACUUGCAGUAACAUAUGCAACCACAUUCCUCUGCUACGUAGACUGUACAGGUAGCUCAUAUGUGGUUAACCUGCAUAUCAAACCUGCAUACACCUUUCAUCAAAUGCUUCUCCGAGAUAAGUUGCAUGUGCUCAAAAGCUCC
rnacentral:lncRNA from 1 species